rnacentral:rRNA from 1 species
CCUACGGGGGGCUGCAGUGGGGAAUAUUGGACAAUGGGGGCAACCCUGAUCCAGCCAUGCCGCGUGUGUGAAGAAGGCCCUCGGGUUGUAAAGCACUUUCAGUGAGGAAGAACGCCUGGUGGUUAAUACCCAUCAGGAAAGACAUCACUCACAGAAGAAGCACCGGCUAACUCCGUGCCAGCAGCCGCGGUAAUACGGAGGGUGCGAGCGUUAAUCGGAAUUACUGGGCGUAAAGCGCGCGUAGGUGGCUUAAUAAGCCGGUUGUGAAAGCCCCGGGCUCAACCUGGGAACGGCAUCCGGAACUGUCAAGCUAGAGUGCAGGAGAGGAAGGUAGAAUUCCCGGUGUAGCGGUGAAAUGCGUAGAGAUCGGGAGGAAUACCAGUGGCGAAGGCGGCCUUCUGGACUGACACUGACACUGAGGUGCGAAAGCGUGGGUAGCAAACAGGAUUAGAUACCCCUGUAGUC